rnacentral:rRNA from 1 species
CACAAAGCCCGUCGCUCCUACCGAUUGAAUGGUCCGGUGAAGUGUUCGGAUUGCGGCGACGUGAGCGGUUCGCCGCCCGCGACGUCGCAAGAAGUCCACUGAACCUUAUCAUUUAGAGGAAGGAGAAGUCGUAACAAGGUUUCCGUAGGUGAACCUGCGGAAGGAUCA